AUUGAACGCUGGCGACAGGCCUAACACAUGCAAGUCGAACGGUAGCACAGAGAGCUUGCUCUCGGGUGACGAGUGGCGGACGGGUGAGUAAUGUCUGGGAAACUGCCUGAUGGAGGGGGAUAACUACUGGAAACGGUAGCUAAUACCGCAUAACGUCGCAAGACCAAAGAGGGGGACCUUCGGGCCUCUUGCCAUCAGAUGUGCCCAGAUGGGAUUAGCUAGUAGGUGGGGUAACGGGCUCACCUAGGCGACG
rnacentral:rRNA from 1 species